rnacentral:rRNA from 1 species
GACGUAGGGCGCGAGCGUUGUCCGGAUUUAUUGGGCGUAAAGAGCUCGUAGGCGGCUUGUUGCGUCGACCGUGAAAACCCGGGGCUCAACUUCGGGCUUGCGGUCGAUACGGGCGGGCUAGAGUUCGGUAGGGGAGACUGGAAUUCCUGGUGUAGCGGUGAAAUACGCAGAUAUCAGGAGGAACACCGGUGGCGAAGGCGGGUCUCUGGGCCGAUACUGACGCUGAGGAGCGAAAGCGUGGGGGAGCGAACAGG